GACGAACGCUGGCGGCGUGCUUAACACAUGCAAGUCGAACGAAGUGGCGAACGGGUGAGUAACGCGUAAUCAACCUGCCCUUCAGAGGGGGACAACAGUUGGAAACGACUGCUAAUACCGCAUACUGAAGGAGGGGAUUGCGUCUGAUUAGCUAGUGUGAGGGGUAACGGCCCACCAAGGCGAUGAACAGUAGCCGGUCCGAGUGGGUGAACUGCCACAUGGGGACUGAGGCACGGCCCAGACUCCUACGGUGUGCAGGAGUGGGGAAUCUUCCGCAAUGGACGAAAGUCUGACGGAGCAACGCCGCGGGAGUGAUGACGGCCUUCGGGUUGUAAAGCUCUGUUAAUCGGGACGCGGUACCGGAAUAGAAAGCCAUGGCUAACUACGUGCCAGCAGCCGCGGUAAUAC
rnacentral:rRNA from 1 species